rnacentral:tRNA from 2 species
GCGGGCAUGGUUUAAUGGUAGAACGCGUCCUUGCCAAGGACGAGAUCGGAGUUCGAUUCUCCGUACCCGCACUA